AUGAAAAUACCCCGCAUCACCUCGCCGUUGCUCAGCCGGCUGCCCAUCCCGCGGCCUCCCACGAUGCUGAUGCCCAGGGACUUGCCGGGCUGUCGGAAAAGCUCCACUCUGAGGGUGGAGGAACCACAACUUUUCAAACGAGAGAGUGUCUGCGAAGCAUGGCCCGCGCCUGAACGUUGCUCAGCUUGGCCGUGGGUUCCCCGUUAAUGGCCAGGAUGAGGUCGCCCACUCCCAAGCGGCCGUCCCGACUGAUAGAUCCGCCGCGGAUCACGCUCCGGAUCAGCAUCCCCAGGCCAUCUUUCAUGGCGCUCACCGUCAUCCCUGCGAGAGCAAGUUUGGGCUCUAAAAAUCGGACAAAAAAUCCUGCUUCGAUGUUGAACAACUUGAAUUUCUAAACACAAACCAAGGUUGGAGUUGCCCUUGACAACCGUGAUGGUCCGUUCAAAACUGCUCCCCGGGAUUGCCGCUUGGUCGCCAGCGUCCGGUCUUGUGUCGACCUCCUUAAAAACCACAACAAGACUCCUCAUCUGUGACACAAAAGUUCAGAACAUUCCUUCUAAACUUACCUUCACGGAGACUUGUUCUUCCACCAAAGUGCCGGUAGGCUCUUCGGCGUAACAUGGAAUCAAUUCCGCCGGUUCAGGUUGGAUUUCAGGUGUGAUCUGGAGGUCAUUAAAUGGACUGUAGGACUCCAAGGCUUCUGGUGUUUCCUCAACGGUGGCUAAGUCCUCAUCAGAACCGCCGAGAGGAGCAGUCAUGGGUGUCGAUCCGUAGUCGAGCUGUGUAGCUGCUCACCUCAGGUGUGGACGCGCGCAGGAAAUCCAGGUCCGAGGUACUUCCGUGAAGCGCAAUCAUCGACGCCUGGAAUGUUUCCUCCUCGCCGUACUAACUAACCAAUGUCGGCUCUGCUCGGAAAAGAACCCCGCCGGGCAGUUCAUCUUCAUCUCUGUCUUGGAGUAAACUACGGCUGAAGUCAAACGAAUGCAGGGUGGACAGCGGCGUGACUUCCUGCCCACCAUAAAGCUG